CACUAGGAAGCUAAAUGGGAAUCAGCGUUAGCCUUUUAAGCUAAAGAAUUGGUGGCUCCCAACCACCCCAAGUGA
rnacentral:tRNA from 1 species